rnacentral:rRNA from 1 species
UGGGAAUUUGGACAAUGGGCGAAGCUGAUCCAGCAAUGCCGCGUGUGUGAAGAAGGCCUUCGGGUUGUAAAGCACUUUUGUCCGGAAAGAAAUCCUUGGCUCUAAUACAGUCGGGGGAUGACGGUACCGGAAGAAUAAGCACCGGCUAACUACGUGCCAGCAGCCGCGGUAAUACGUAGGGUGCAAGCGUUAAUCGGAAUUACUGGGCGUAAAGCGUGCGCAGGCGGUUUGCUAAGACCGAUGUGAAAUCCCCGGGCUCAACCUGGGAACUGCAUUGGUGACUGGCAGGCUAGAGUAUGGCAGAGGGGGGUAGAAUUCCACGUGUAGCAGUGAAAUGCGUAGAGAUGUGGAGGAAUACUGAUGGCGAAGGCAGCCCCCUGGGCAAUACUGACGCUCAUGCACGAAAGCGUGGGGAGCAAACAGGAUUAGAUACCCUGGUAGUCCACGCCCU